rnacentral:rRNA from 1 species
GCCAGCAACUAGCUCUCUGCAACUCUCACAUGGUCGCUCACUGAAGCUAAGCAGGGCUGCGCCUGGUUAGUACCUGGAUGGGAGACCACAUGGGAAAGCUAGGUUGCUGUUGGAA